rnacentral:rRNA from 1 species
GGCGUGCAUGGUUGUCGUCAGCUCGUGUCGUGAGAUGUUGGGUUAAGUCCCGCAACGAGCGCAACCCCUAUUGCUAGUUACCAUCAUUAAGUUGGGGACUCUAGCGAGACUGCCAGUGAUAAACUGGAGGAAGGUGGGGAUGACGUCAAAUCAUCAUGCCCCUUAUGACCUGGGCUACAAACGUGAUACAAUGGCUGGAACAAAGGGAUGCGAAGCAGUGAUGUGGAGCGAAACCCAUAAAAACAGUCUCAGUUCGGAUUGAAGUCUGCAACUCGACUUCAUGAAGUCGGAAUCGCUAGUAAUCGCGGAUCAGAACGCCGCGGUGAAUACGUUCUCGGGGUUU